rnacentral:misc_RNA from 1 species
CUUACGGAAGUUACCGAAAUUGUACGAAAACUUGUAAGUGCAUCAUGGGUAAUAUUUCGCCUAUACCAGAAUCAGUGAUGAUGCAAAUGGCGUCUUUAUUGUUUGACUGACUGGACUCGCAAAUCCUUUCAUUGUCAGCUACUUGGGUUUGUGUUUAAGCUCAUCGUGGCAUUUUUCAGGGUUCUGCUAAAGGUGAAUUAAUUCAAAACUAAUGAUUUGAAAUAUCAAAUAAUAACAAUCAACAAGAAAUAGCGUUAAACGCCUUCUGUAAUAUGUAGUAUUGAGAGUUAAGCAAUUGCUAUACAUGGAAUAUAGUGACUUAACAGGGAAAGCUGGCCAUAAAAAAUAAAGGAUUCUCUUUGAAAAUAUUUUUUAUAAAAUGGAAAUAUCUGGAAACAACCUUCCUCAGUCAAUAAAUCCAGAUACAAUUCAAACUCAAGAUGGUAGUAUUCAAAUUCCAUCAACCCAUGUUGGAUCACUCACAUCUGAAUCUCAUGCAGUAACUGAUGUGGAUAUCAUUUCUGGGACUUCUCUUAGUUCUGUUCCUGGUACCAUAGUUACAUCGGCUGGUGUUCAGCAAACGCAAACUGUUCUUGUCUCACCAGAGUUAUUCACUACAUUACCCCAAGUGCAGCCAACAUCAGAAGGUAUAGAAACUACUGAAGUUACUAGUACCACACUUGGUGGCGUUACUUAUGCUUUUAUCAAAGGUUUGGAUAGUAGUCUUGGUAGUCAGGCAACAUGUAUCACUACACCAAAAUCCAUACUCACAGGACAGUCUGGCGGUAUGGAUGUAGAGUUGAUCCCUGUAGAUAAUGUAGCCCUUCAAGUGAUGGCUGUUGAAACUAAAUCUAAUGAUAAAGAAAAAGACCAAGAUAAAGAUGAUGGCUCAUCCAUCAAACACCAAAUGAUACAGCAUGCUGUUCUUGUUCAAGAUCCUAAUAGUCAAAUCUCUUCUCUUACUGGCAAAGAUACAGAGUUUAUGACCACUUCUGGUAAUGUUAGUCUAUCUGUAAACAACACCUAUGUUUGCGAAGAUGGUAGUACAAUUGAUAGCACACCAAUACAAAUCACUUCAAAAGAUUCAAAGAUGGAAGAGAAAAAUCCUGCUUUAGAAGCAGCCAUUCAAGAAACUUAUUUUCAACUGGACCAUAAUAUGCUAAAAUCUAGUGGUGUUGACCUGAAUAAAGCAACAUUGCAAGCAUCUGCUGAUGGUGCACAGUUCUUUGUCAUUGACUUGAGUGAAACUGAAGUUCAGAAUUCCAUUCCAAUGGAAAUAGAAACUGAACAAAUAAUCAAGGAGGAAACUGUAAGUAUUGAUUCAUCAGCAAUGAAUAUUGACUCAAAUAAUGAUGAGACCAAUGAAGUGCCUACUGAGUCAUCACCUUAUUAUGUUGUUCAGCAUGUGACAAAAACGGAUUCAGAUCAACCAGAAAAGUAUUUUCCAAUUAAGCAGUUACCAGCAGAUUUAAAAGGCUUGGUGUCUCUUUCUCCUGAUAUUAAAUCUAAAGAAACACCAGUAGCUAUUUCCUUGCAAAAAGAUUUGGAGGCAAUGCAAAAAUCAGUGGCAAAAGAAGGAGAUGUGCUUUCAGUUGACCCGAAAGCUUCUAGUAAUGAAUUGCUUAUCACCAAUAUCCAAGGGGGACAUGAAGUAAUAAUGGUUGAUAUUGGUAGUGCAGCAUCUAUUGUUACUGAGACAAUAAAAACCUCUACUGAUGCAGAAUUUGAGGGAACUGAGCAAAAAGACGAUGAUCAACAAUAUGUAUUUGAUGUUGUUGGUUCCGAAGAACAGUCAGCAGGCAAUUUAUUAACAGCUAAAUCUGGCUCUACUCUUUUGACAACCACUUCAACUGUGACCAGUACUCUUGGAUCAAUAACCACAACAUCCAUUAAUACACAGGCUGCUUCCAAAUUUAGAGAUGCUGGUCAGCAAACUGAGAAAUCUCGGCAAGCAGCUGAACAAAAACAAUCUGUACAAUCAGCAGCAUUGCCGCCAAAGCAGACUGUAGUCUCACAAGCUGUAUCUCAAGCUAAGCAAGUUCAGGUUCAGUCUACAUCUUCAAAUCCAGUUGUAUCUUCUCAGCAAGUUCAGCUUAUUAAUAAACAAGCUGGACAGUCUACAUCUGCUUCUACACCAUCUACAAUUAACACCUCUAAACAGUUGCAGGUAACAUCUCAAUUGCCAACAAAACAGACAUAUAUAUUUGCUCCAAAACCAACUCAGAUGGCACAAACCUCAUUACUGAAACAGGCACAAACAACUCAGCAAACUUUGCUUAAACAACCAGUAACAAGUGCAGCUUUGCCGAAAUUGGACCAAUCACAGCAAAGUACAGUUUCUAAGUUGGUUACAUCACAGCCAAUCACUUAUACUCAGGCUAAACAAUCUUCACAGCUCCAGUCAGCAGUUACUCAAUCUAAACUUGUACCUUCCAAAGUAUCACUAAUAUCUGCACCUAGACCAUCGACUGUAAGCUCACAGACAAUAACAAUAAAACAGCCACAAGCUCAACAGGUUUCUUUACAACAGAUGGCUUCAAUGUCUAAAACAGGGCAGUCCUUACUUCAGCCGUCACAAGAACCUCAAGUACAAUCAUCUGUAAAGACCACGCCUGUGCAGUUGAAGCAGACAGUUACUCAGCCAAUAACACUUCCACAAUCUAAACAAAUUGUACUACAAUCAUCCACCACAUCUCUACAAAAACAGACUCAACCCCAACAGAUUACUACAUGGCAAGUCCAAUCGCCAGUAUCAAAACCAGCACAGUCGGUACAAGUUAAACCAGGUCUCCAAGUUUUACAGCCAAAACCCGUUCAGCGUUUACAACCAAAAGAAGGAGUGCAAGCACAAGCCAGCAUUCUGCAACAACAACAACAGCCUAAGCAAAUAGCAAAAUCUCCAACAACACAAGUGCAAAUGACUUCUACACAACAGUUGUCAGCUAAAACUACAACUGCACAACCAGUAACAAAACAAAUUAUUGUACAACAGUCUCCGAAAACAGUUACAGUGCAACAGCAGCAGUCCACUAAACCAAUUACUGUACAACAACAACAGCAGUCUCCUAAAACAGUUACUAUACAGCAGCAGCCUUCUAAACCAGUAACAGUACAACAGCAGCAGCCUUCUAAACCAGUUACAGUACAGCAACAGCAGCCUUCUAAAACAGUUACUAUACAGCAACAGCAGCCUUCUAAGCCAGUUACAGUACAGCAGCAGCUUUCUAAACCAGGUACAGUACAACAAACUCCAAAGUCAAUUAUAAUACAACAACCAGCCAAAUUGGUCUCGGCACAACAGCAGCCAGUAAAAUCAGUUACAGUACAGCAGCAAGUACCAGUAAAAUCAACAGCUGUUCAACAACAGCAGCAGCCUACUAAAACAAUUUCAGUGCAACAGCAAUCUGAAAAGCCUGCAGUGGUGCUACAGCAACCUGCCAAGUCUGUUACCCUUGUACAGCAACCUGCAAAAUCUGUGACUUUGGUACAGCAACCGCCUUUAAAAGUAACAUCCUUGCAACAACAGCAGCAGCAAACCACAAAAUCUGUAACUGUGCAACAGCAAACUGUAAAGUCAACAACUUUGUCUCAGUCAGAGCCAGGUAAAACAACUGUAACACAGCUGCCAGUUAAGGCUGUUGUCUCACCACAGACGCAAAAACCUAUUGUUGUGCAAGUGCAAAAGCCAGUACAAACAACACAAGCAGCAGUGACCCAAGUUUCAUCACAAACAUUGAGACCAUCGCAGCCUGCUGUCACUACUUUAGUUUCUAUUCCAUCACAGCAACAAUCACCGAAAACUGUAACUGAAACACUUGUUGGUCAGCAGCAAUCAGCAAAAUCAGUUAAUGUUCAGCAGUUAGUUAGUCAACAAGAACCUAUUAUUCAGAAGCAGGUGGUGUCAGCUUCAUCUACAUUACAACAACCACAGUCUAAAAUCUUAUCUGUCACUCAACCAGCUUCCACGCAACCUAGCACGGUACAACAGCAAACCUCAAGACUACAUGAAAGUGUGCCAAAAGGCCAAACUCCAGAAUCAAAAAUAUUCUCAGAUGUUAAAUCUAAAGAUCAACAACAAUCAUCCACUGCACAGUCGCAACAGCUUAAAAGUAUGAAAUCCUUGGUAGUGCAACCAGGGAGAACUUCAGAAACUGUACAAAAGGAAAAAUCUUUAGGAACAGAAACAAAAAGAACAGAAGCAGUGUUGAACACCGUAAAGAAAGCAGUGGUAUCACAGGAAAUGGGGAAGAAACCGGAACAUGUGCAAGAUGUUCAGAAACAGACAGAAUCGUUACAGAAGGCUGAGAAGAAGUCAGAAGAUCAUAGUAAGGAAUCGGGCACACCACCUGUGAGUGUUAAAAGAACAGAGAUACCACAGGAAGCUGGGAAGAAAGCAGAGCAUUUGCAAGAUACUGCAAAGAAAACAGAUGUUGGGAAGAAAGUGGAACUGUCAAAAGAGGCUGCAAAGAAAAUGGAAUCAUCAAAUGAGGCUGCAAAGAAAAUGGAAUCAUCAAAUGAGGCUGCAAGAAAAGUGGAGCCACCAAAAGAUGUUGGAAAGAAGGUGGAAUUGCCAAAAGAUGCAAAAAAAGUUGAACCACUAAAAGAUGUCUUAAAGAAGGUCGAACCACCAAAAGAUGUUCCAAAGAAAGUGGAACCACCAAAAGAUGUUCCAAAGAAAGUGGAACCACCAAAAGACGUUCCAAAGAGGGUUGAACCACCAAAAGAUGUUGGAAAGAAGGUAGAAACACCAAAAGAGGUUGCAAAGAAGGUGGAGCCUCCAAAAGAAUCUGCAUCAAAAGUAGAAGUACCAAAAGAUACUGCGAAGAAGGUGGAAGUGUCAAAAGAUGCUGCCAACAAAGUAGAACCACCAAAGGAUGCCACAAAGAAAGUGGAGCCACCAAAAGAUAUUGCAAAGAAGGUGGAACCUCCAAAAGAUGCUGCAAAGAAGGUAGAGCCACCGAAAGAUGCAGCAAAGAAAGUAGAGCCACCAAAAGAUGUUCCAAAGAGGGUUGAACCACCAAAAGAUGCAAAGAAGGCAGAACCACCAAAAGACAUUGCAAAGAAGAUAGAGCCAUCAAAAGAUGCAGCAAAAAAGACAGAACCACUGAAAGAUGCUGCAAAGAAAGUGGAGCCACCAAAAGAUGCUGGAAAGAAGCUAGAGCCACCGAAAGAUGGUGCAAAGAAGGUAGAGUUACCAAAAGAUACUGCAAAGAAGGCAGAACUACCAAAAGAUGCCACAAAGAAAGUGGAACCACCAAAAGAUGCUGCCAAAAAAGUGGAACCACCAAAAGAUGCUACAAAGAAAGUGGAUCAACCAAAAGAUGCUGCAAAGAAAGUGGAACCUUCAAAGGAUGUUGGGAAAAGGGUGGAGCCACCAAAAGAUGCUGUAAAGAAAGUGGAAUCACCAAAAGAUGCUGCAAAGAAGGUAGAGCCACCAAAAGAACCUGGAAAAAAGACAGAGUUGCCAAAAGACACUGCAAAAAGAGCUGAACCUAUAAAAGAUGCUGGGAAAAAGGUAGAAAGUGUGAAAGAUGCUACGAAAAAGGCAGAGGUACAAAAAGAUAUUGGGAAGAAAACAGAACCUGUGAGAGAUACAGUGAAAAAGGUGGAGUCACCAAAAGAUGCUCCGAAAGUAAAAGAUGUUGGAAGAAAAGCAGAAGUAUCAAAAGAUACUGGGAAAAAGACCGAAUUUGCCAAAGAUGUUGAGAAGACAGAAUCACCGAAGAAGGUGGAGGUGUCUCAGGAAACUGUAAAGAAGGCAGAAUCUUUGAAGAAAGCAGAAACAACAAAGGAGACAAAUCAGCAAACUUCUAUGACAAAAACUGUUGGGGAACCAAAACAAGCUGAGUCAGUUAAUAGACAGGAAUUAAAAUCUAUAUCUAUUAAUAAACCAAAAGAAGAUGCAGUUGUAGCUGGCCAGAUACAGACAGUAAAGGUACAAGUACCAAUGUCCAGUGUUUCAAAACAAGUAGGGGAAACUAACAAGGAAGUGCAACAAGUUGAACCACCUCAAAAGAUACAAAAGUUUGACUCUCCAAAAUACCAAUUAAAGUCCACCACCAGUGCUGCAGGACAUCAUUUAGGAGUUGUCAGCAUUCCAGAAAUGACUGUUACUACACAAGCAAAUCAAGCAGUUGUUGGUACUCUAGAAAGUCAAGUGGAGGUUGUGAGUAUGCCAAGUAACCAGGUAGAGAUUGUCAGCACUCCAAGUAACCAAGUAGAGAUUGUCAGCACUCCAAGUAACCAGGUAGAGAUUGUUAGUACUCCGAGUAAUCAAAUAGAAGUUAUGAGCACCCCGGAGAAUAAAGUAGAAGUUGUUAGUGCGUCAGAGAACCAAUUACAAAUGUUUGGAACUCAAAUGAGUCAACUGGAAGUUGUUGGUGCUUCCGGAAAUCAGUUGACAGUUGUCAGUACUUCAGGGAAUCAGCUGGCACUUGUUAGUACCCCUAGCAACCAACUAGAAACAUUUAGUAUUUCAGAACAGCAGCUUCAGGUUGUUGCUGGUGGGGAGACUCUAUUGGAAACAGUUAACAGUGGAGAGCAGCAGCUAGAAGCAUUGGAUGGCCAGACACAACAACUAGAGGCAGUAGUUUUACAAGAUCAGGGAACACUUAGUAUACAACAAUUAGCAGCCUGUCAACAAGCUGUAACUGGACAGCAAGAGGAGGUACAGAUUAUUGAAACUGUAACUCCUGAUUUGACUGAGAAACAAGGACAAACAGAAGCAGCAACUCCAAGACGUAGAGGCAGGCCACCUAAGUCUACUACUCCAGCAGCAUCUCAGGCUACUAAAAGCACAGAUAAUGAAUUUGAAACUCCAAAAUCCAGUAACCGAUCUUUACGUGUUCGAAGCAAAGAAACCAGUGGUGAUGAAUCAGAGCCUAGUGCUACAAAAGAAACCAAACAAACAAAGAGAAAGUCUUCCAAAGAAACUGAUUUAUCCGAAGACGCUGAACAAAGUGUUGAUAGUGCAGGGGAAUCUAAGAGUGAAUCUACUUUAAAACGAAAGCGAGGUAGACCUCGGAAAGAUGAUCCUCCUAAGAAAGAAAAAGCAACCACUGAAAAACACGACACGCCUUCUUCGAGUCAGAAGAGAGGUCGUCCAAGAAAAGAUUCGUUAGAAAAGAAUUAUGAUGUUGAUUCUCCAGAAGGACGAGCUAAACGUCAAAAGAUUAGCAAUGAAGAAGAAGAGGAGGACGAAGAAGAAGGUAGGCGCCGUUCUGGCAGAAUAAAGAAAGGUCAGGAAGAAAAGUCACAGAAGAAAUCCUCUCCUGAAAUAUCUACUAAGAAAAAGGAAAAAUUAUCUUCAAAGGGCAAGGAUGCAGCAAAAGAAUCGCCAAAUGUGUCAAAGAAAGCUGAAGAUACUCUGCCACGUCGUGGUAGACCAAAAAGUAAGGAAACACCAAAAUCUGCAAAGAAAGAUUCUGAGAGUAGUGAAGUAGCUGAGAAAUCUUCAGGUCGCCGAUCGAAGGCAACGAGUGAGAAAGAUGGUGAGCCAGUUGCUAGCACUUCUGGAAUUAAGUAUGUCAGGAAGCGUAAGGCUGAAUCUGAAGACGAUGAGGUGCCUUCAGAAGAAAGUGAUGAAGCAGUUAGUGAAUUAUCAAGAAUUGAUCUUCCAUCUAAAGUUUCUAUGGCUUCGCCAAAAAAGAAAGCAAGGUAUUUUGAAGAUACUGCUGUUGCUGUAGGUACAAGUACAAUUUAUGAUGAUAGUGAAGAUGAAGAUGUUGACGAAGAUGAAGAUGAGGAGGAGGAGAUUGAAGAAGUUGAGGAAGACGACGAGGAUGAUGACGAAAGUGAUGAAUAUAUAGGAACUGUUAUCACUUCUCCUAGAAGUAAAACCAUGUCAUAUUCUCAUAUUAAAAGUAGUAAUGAAUCCAUGCGAGACAUGAAACAGGAGCCUCUUGAAAUGGAAGUAGAGGACAUGGAAGGGUAUAUUGAAGAUAAAAAUGACAAUACUAUUGAAGACAGAGAUGAUAGAGAAGAAAUUUAUGAGCUUGAAGAAGAAUCUUUGUCAAGAAUUAUCUGUGGAGAUGAUGGAGCAGUUCUCACUCCUAUUAGAGUUCACAGGCGGCGGCUUGAUGACAAACAAGAUGAUAUUUAUAACAUUGAUCAAAUUGAUGAGGAUGAGUUUUUGGCUGCAAAAAAUGCUGCUAUGCAAGACAAAUCUCCAAGGACACCACAGACGCCUCAGUUUGUUGAGGUUGAAACUGUUUUUGAAUCUCCUGGUAGACGAUCUGUACAAACACAGACAGAUCCACGACUGAGGAAAAAGAAAUUUGGACCACUUGGGCAAGAAGGUGAAAUUGAUGAAAUAGAUGCAGAUGAUGGAGAUCUUUAUAGAAGACGUCGCCGAAAGAAGGAAGAGUCAGAUUUCAGUUUAUUUGAAGAUGAACCAAAGCGUAAGAGUGUUAAACGAAACACUGAAGAAGCUCUGAAAUGUCCAUUUUGCGAUAAGGCCUUCAUUGGUCUGGUAAAACAUAUUAAGAGUAAACAUCGCCAUGAAGCAGAUUAUGAUGAAGAAAUGCGUAAUGCAAAAUGGAGAGAGCGUAUCAUGAAAGUUUCAACACAAGGUGGGGAUGAAGCUGGUGAGACUUGUUCUGAAUGUGGCAAGGUCACGAAAAAUAUGAAGCGCCAUCAAGAACUUCACCAGCAAAACAGAAUGCAAAGCGCUUGUCCAAUUUGUGGAAAGGUAGUCUUAAGAACAGGAAUCAGCUCUCACAUGCGCACUGUUCAUUCUGGAAGAAAGCCUUAUAAAUGUCCUCAUUGUGAUUAUUCAUCAGCAUUCCGUGGAAAUCUUAACACUCAUAUUAAAGGUAUGCAUUUGCACACUCGUCAGUAUCUCUGUGACGUAUGCAAAGCUGCAUUCAAAACUUUAGGUGCUCUUAUUGGGCAUACGAAACGAGUACAUGAAGGUUGGAAAUCUCCUAAUCAAAAAAUUUUCAUUUGCUCUGUCUGUGAGAAAAGGUUUACAAAGAAGUACCAUGUUGACCGACAUAUGCUUAUACAUACAGGAGAAAAACCACACAAGUGCACUGAUUGUGGCCGCUGCUUCAAUAAUAAGUCGAACCUUAUGUCUCAUAUUCAAUUAGUGCAUAAGAAAUUAUCACCUUAUCAAUGUGAUAUGUGCCAGGAGACUUUUAAACGUAAGAAAUUAUUGCUUGAACAUAUUGGAAAAGUUCACGUAGCUGCUGGAGAAAUGGCUCCACUGAUUAAAGACGAAGAUGAUGAUGAUGAUGAGGAUGAAAUGUUAGAUGAUGGUAUGGAUGAUGAGGAGAUUGAUGACAUGAGAAAAGUAACCGAAUUAGUACAAUCUCAAGCAGUAUAUGCUACAGUAACUGAUGGUUCAGUUGCUGAAGGAACUUAUACUGCUGUUGUCACUGAUGCAGCACACGAACUUAACAAUCAGACAAUAACUACAUUACAAACAGAGGGUGGACAAGAGACCAUUAUUAUUGUGCAUACAGCUAACCCAGAAGAAGUUGCUCAUGCUAUCGUUGAACAGGGAGAUGGAACAGUGCAAUACGAAACAUCUGGUCAAACUAUCACUGGAACAACUGCAGCUGAAUUAUUUUCUCAAAUGCAGUCUUAAAAGGAGAGAGACUUUCUUCCUUUUCGCUAAUGGUGUAACAGCUUCAAAAUAUCCAUUAUCAGAGCACAAGAUUUUGUUUCAAUUCCAUAGCUGAAUUGCAUAAAAAAUCAGAUUAAGCCCUUUGGCAGCUUGGCUGAUUUGGGCAAGUUGGUAAGAGGUCAAAAAAUAAAUAGGUCAGUAAUUAU